CACGUAGGGUGCGAGCGUUGUCCGGAAUUAUUGGGCGUAAAGAGCUCGUAGGCGGUGUGUCGCGUCGGCCGUGAAAACCUGCAGCUUAACUGUGGGCGUGCGGUCGAUACGGGCAUCACUGGAGUUCGGCAGGGGAGACUGGAAUUCCUGGUGUAGCGGUGAAAUGCGCAGAUAUCAGGAGGAACACCGGUGGCGAAAGCGGGUCUCUGGGCCGAUACUGACGCUGAGGAGCGAAAGCGUGGGGAGCAAACAGG
rnacentral:rRNA from 1 species